rnacentral:rRNA from 1 species
UACGUAGGGUGCGAGCGUUAAUCGGAAUUACUGGGCGUAAAGCGUGCGCAGGCGGUUUUGUAAGUCUGUCGUGAAAGCCCCGGGCUCAACCUGGGAAUGGCGAUGGAGACUGCAAGGCUUGAAUCUGGCAGAGGGGGGUAGAAUUCCACGUGUAGCAGGUGAAAUGACGUAGAGAUGAUGGAGGAACACCGAUGGCGAAGGCAGCCCCCUGGGUCAAGAUUGACGCUCAUGCACGAAAGCGUGGGGAGCAAACAGG